rnacentral:misc_RNA from 1 species
GAUGAAGAACGUAGCGAAAUGGGAUAAGUAAUGUGAAUUGCAGAAUUCAGUGAAUCAUCGAAUCUUUGAACGCACAUUGCGCCCAUUAGUAUUCUAGUGGGCAUGCCUGUUCGAGCGUCAUUAAUUCCACUUAAGCCCUGCUUAGUGUUGGGAAUCUACUCUAGUGGUGCUACCCUGGAGCUACCCCUGAAAGGGGGCUGGCCCGGUAGCUACCCUGUAGUUCCUCAAAGAUAGUGCGCGGAGUUGCGUGGUCCUCUGAGCUUAGUAACUAUACACCUAGCUUUUGAGUGUCCCGCGGCGCCUGCCGUUUAAACCCCAUCUUUUAAUGGUUGACCUCGGAUCAGGUAGGAAUACCCGCUGAACUUAAGCAUAUCAAUAAGCGGAGGA